AUUGAACGCUGGCGGGAGGCUUAGCACAUGCAAGUCGAGCGGGCGAGGUUGCUUCGGUAACUGAGCUAGCGGCGGACGGGUGAGUAAUGCUUAGGAAUCUGCCUAUUAGUGGGGGACAACAUUCCGAAAGGGAUGCUAAUACCGCAUACGUCCUACGGGAGAAAGCAGGGGACCUUCGGGCCCUGCGCUAAUAGAUGAGCCUAAGUCGGAUUAGCUAGUUGGUGGGGUAAAGGCCUACCAAGGCGACGAUCUGUAGCGGGUCUGAGAGGAUGAUCCGCCACACUGGGACUGAGACACGGCCCAGACUCCUACGGGAGGCAGCAGUGGGGAAUAUUGGACAAUGGGGGGAACCCUGAUCCAGCCAUGCCGCGUGUGUGAAGAAGGCCUUUUGGUUGUAAAGCACUUUAAGUGGGGAGGAGGCUUACCUGGUUAAUACCUGGGCUAAGUGGACGUUACCCACAGAAUAAGCACCGGCUAACUCUGUGCCAGCCGCCGCAGUAA
rnacentral:rRNA from 1 species